rnacentral:rRNA from 1 species
GCGAGCGGAACCAACAGAUUUACUUCGGUAAUGACGUUGGCGCAGUGAGCGGCGGAUGGGUGAGUAACACGUGGGGAACCUGCCCCUAAGUCUGGGAUACCAUUUGGAAACAGGUGCUAAUACCGGAUAAUAAAGCGGAUCGCAUGAUCAGCUUUUGAAAGGCGGCGUAAGCUGUCGCUAAGGGAUGGCCCCGCGGUGCAUUAGCUAGUUGGUAAGGUAAUGGCUUACCAAGGCGACGAUGCAUAGCCGAGUUGAGAAACUGAUCGGCCACAUUGGGACUGAGACACGGCCCAAACUCCUACGGGAGGCAGCAGUAGGGAAUCUUCCACAAUGGACGCAAGUCUGAUGGAGCAACGCCGCGUGAGUGAAGAAGGUUUUCGGAUCGUAAAGCUCUGUUGUUGGUGAAGAAGGAUAGAGGUAGUAACUGGCCUUUAUUUGACGGUAAUCAACCAGAAAGUCACGGCUAACUACGUGCCAGCAGCCGCGGUAAUACGUAGGUGGCAAGCGUUGUCCGGAUUUAUUGGGCGUAAAGCGAGCGCAGGCGGAAAAAUAAGUCUAAUGUGAAAGCCCUCGGCUUAACCGAGGAACUGCAUCGGAAACUGUUUUUCUUGAGUGCAGAAGAGGAGAGUGGAACUCCAUGUGUAGCGGUGGAAUGCGUAGAUAUAUGGAAGAACACCAGUGGCGAAGGCGGCUCUCUGGUCUGCAACUGACGCUGAGGCUCGAAAGCAUGGGUAGCGAACAGGAUUAGAUACCCUGGUAGUCCAUGCCGUAAACGAUGAGUGCUAAGUGUUGGGAGGUUUCCGCCUCUCAGUGCUGCAGCUAACGCAUUAAGCACUCCGCCUGGGGAGUACGACCGCAAGGUUGAAACU